GUCUAUGGCCAUACCACCCUGAAUGUGCCUGAUCUCCUCUGAUCUCAGAAGCUAAGCAGGGUCGGGCCUGGUUAGUAGUACUUGGAUGGGAGAAAUUAAUUCAAGCUAAUUUAAACA
rnacentral:rRNA from 1 species